UACGUAGGGGGCAAGCGUUGUCCGGAUUUACUGGGCGUAAAGAGCGCGCAGGCGGUUGGUUAAGUCGAAUGUGAAAGCCCCCGGCUCAACUGGGGAGGGUCAUUCGAUACUGAUCGACUUGAAGGCAGGAGAGGGAAGUGGAAUUCCGGGUGUAGUGGUGAAAUGCGUAGAUAUCCGGAGGAACACCAGUGGCGAAGGCGACUUCCUGGCCUGUUCUUGACGCUGAGGCGCGAAAGCUGGGGGAGCAAACGGG
rnacentral:rRNA from 1 species